rnacentral:rRNA from 1 species
GACGAACGCUGGCGGCGUGCUUAACACAUGCAAGUCGAGCGAUGAAGCACCUUCGGGUGUGGAUUAGCGGCGAACGGGUGAGGAACACGUGAGGAAUCUGCCUUCCACUCUGGGAUAACUCCGGGAAACCGGGGCUAAUACCGGAUACUUUCAACUGGCGGCAUCGCCGGUUGAAGAAAGUUUUUCGGUGGAAGAUGACCUCGCGGCCUAUCAGCUUGUUGGUGAGGUAAUGGCUCACCAAGGCAACGACGGGUAGCCGGCCUGAGAGGGCGACCGGCCACACUGGGACUGAGACACGGCCCAGACUCCUACGGGAGGCAGCAGUGGGGAAUAUUGGGCAAUGGAGGAAACUCUGACCCAGCGACGCCGCGUGAGGGAUGAAGGCCUUCGGGUUGUAAACCUCUUUCAGCAGGGAAUAAGCGAAAGUGACGGUACCUACAGAAGAAGCACCGGCUAACUAUGUG